rnacentral:rRNA from 1 species
ACGCACGCUGGCGGCGUGCUUAACACAUGCCAGUCGAACGGAAAGGCCCUGCUUUUGUGGGGUGCUCGAGUGGCGAACGGGUGAGUAACACGUGAGUAACCUGCCCUUGACUUUGGGAUAACUUCAGGAAACUGGGGCUAAUACCGGAUAGGAGCUCCUGCUGCAUGGUGGGGGUUGGAAAGUUUCGGCGGUUGGGGAUGGACUCGCAGCUUAUCAGCUUGUUGGUGGGGUAGUGGCUUACCAAGGCUUUGACGGGUAGCCGGCCUGAGAGGGUGACCGGCCACAUUGGGACUGAGAUACGGCCCAGACUCCUACGGGAGGCAGCAGUGGGGAAUAUUGCACAAUGGGCGGAAGCCUGAUGCAGCAACGCCGCGUGCGGGAUGACGGCCUUCGGGUUGUAAACCGCUUUCGCCUGUGACGAAGCGUGAGUGACGGUAAUGGGUAAAGAAGCACCGGCUAACUACGUG